rnacentral:lncRNA from 1 species
GAGACUUUGAAACACCAACUGAUAUCAGAUAAAAUGUCGGAAGUCAUGCUUAGGAGCAGGCGGGGGACCAAGAGAGUUUCUGGUCUGUGGGUUCAGGGCAGGGCAAAGUGCUCUCUGUCUCCCCCUACAGGCCGGACAUUUGCACAACAUCUGUGAAAGGCUUGAUUAAGAAGGCCUGGUAUGUGCAGUCCCCUUAAAAUGAAUGCGUUAUUCCUGAAACUGGGGCUACAGAAAUUCUGUAAGGCGAAGAUGCCAGGAGUGGACAUUCCUGAGGGGUUUGCUGGUUUGCCGGUCGGCCGGCAUCACCAGCAGGGAUUUGCUCCCCGAGGCCCAGCGGCAGGUGCUGGCUUUUUUUGGAAGUACUCAGACGCUAUCUGCAGGCACCAGUCCCAUUGUGUGGUUUGUGUCUGGUGGCUAGAGGCCCGAGGUUAUUGGUUUGCUUUGCUGAAGUCUUAGGUUCCCUGGAUAUCCCCUCUGUCAUAGUGAGCUGCUUCAUAGUUGCAGAGUGUCAGCCCAGGUAAGGGUCUUCCCAGGUCCCUCUUCCCAAUUCACUCUGGCUGUCCCCUAAGGGUAGCACUUCUCCUUUGAAGCUGGGAAGAGAAAUGGUUGCCUUACUUCGGUAAUUUGAAUGGAAUGCUAAGGAGGAGAGGUGAGAACUUCUCAUUCAUUAUUCAUACGUUGCCUUCUGCCUCAGCCUCCUCCCAAGCUUGGGACAUCCCAGCAACUUCCUGGAGGCAGCACCACAGGUGGCUGUGGGUCCCUAGCACACAAGCAGGCAGUCUCUGCUGCAGGACUGGCCUGGCUGCCUUGGUUCCAAACGACAUCAUCCUAGAUGAGUGGGACCAUUGUCUCAGCCUGCCUUCCCUGGCCCUGUAUCACCUAUGCCUGUAUUUGGAAGUAGAUAAUGAAGGAUCUCGGUGGGCAAGAAGGCAGAAUUCUUACCUUUGAAAAGCAACCACUUACAAUCUUCAGGAAGGACUUUGCAGGGACUGCCCCGAGGUUGACUGUACCCAGCUCUGGCUGCUGCUUCUAACGGCUCCUUAUAUCUGCCUGUGACUUCUCCGGGAGGAGCGGGUGCCAAACACAACAUUUAUUCUCUUGGCAAUCUUCUGCUGGCAAGCGCUGGGAGAGCAUGUGGUCCCGGAGGCAUGGAAGCCCACUGAAGUAGAGUUAAA